AGUCGAGGAUCAUUUGCAAUGGGCGAAAGCCUGACAAUGCGACGCUGCGUGCAGGAUGAAGGCCUUCGGGUUGUAAACUGCUGUUGGGAGGGAAAAGGACGCGGGGCCCAACAAGCCCUGCCGUUUGAUUGUACUUCCAGAGAAAGUCGCGGCUAACUCUGUGCCAGCAGCCGCGGUAAUACAGAGGCGACGAGCGUUGUUCGGAUUUACUGGGCGUAAAGCGUGCGCAGGCGGCGGACCAUGUCCGACGUGAAAGCCCGGGGCUCAGCCCCGGAAGUGCGUCGGAAACCGGUCCGCUGGAGACCGGGAAGGGAGUCUGGAACACACGGUGUAGCGGUGAAAUGCGUUGAUAUCGUGUGGAACACCGGAAGCGAAGGCGAGACUCUGGAACGGAACUGACGCUCAUGCACGAAAGCGUGGGGAGCAAACAGGAUUAGAUACCCUGGUAGUCCACGCCGUAAACGGUGCGCAUUCGCCGUGGGGGGAAUUGACCCCCCCCGUGGCUUAGCCAACGCGAUAAAUGCGCCGCCUGGGGAGUACGGCCGCAAGGCUAAAACUCAAAGAAAUUGACGGGGGCCCGCACAAGCAGAGGAGCAUGUGGCUUAAUUCGAUGCAACGCGAAGAACCUUACCUGGGCUUGACAUGCAGCUGCACGGCCCAUGAAAGUGGGCCUCCUUCGAGGGUGCUGCACAGGUGCUGCAUGGCUGUCGUCAGUUCGUGCCGUGAGGUGUUUGGUUAAGUCCACCAACGAACGCAACCCCUUUGUCCUGUUGCCAGCGGUAAGGCCGGGAACUCUGGCCAGACUGCUCGUUCACGCGGGAGGAAGGUGGGGAUGACGUCAAGUCAGUAUGGCCCUUACGCCCAGGGCUGCACACGUGCUACAAUGGCCGGUACAGAGGGAAGCGAGACCGCGAGGUGGAGCAAACCCCAGAGAGCCGGCCCCAGUUCGGAUUGGAGUCUGCAACCCGACUCCAUGAAGUUGGAUUCGCUAGUAACGGCGCAUCAGCAGUUGGUGCCGUGAAUACGUUCCCGGGCCUUGUACACACCGCCCGUCACAUCAUGAAAGCCGUCUGCACCCGAAGCCGGUGGCCCAUCCGCAAGGGGGGAGCCGUCUAAGGUGUGGGUGGUGAUUGGGAUGAAGUCGUAACAAGGUAACCGUAGGGGAACCUGCGGUUGG
rnacentral:rRNA from 1 species